GAUGAAGAACGUAGCGAAAUGAGAUACGUAAUGUGAAUUGCAGAAUUCAGUGAAUCAUCGAGUCUUUGAACGCACAUUGCGCCCCCUGGUAUUCCGGGGGGCAUGCCUGUCCGAGCGUCAUUGCUGCCCUCAAGCACGGCUUGUGUGUUGGGCCUCCGUCCUCCUCCCGGGGGACGGGCCCGAAAGGCAGCGGCGGCACCGCGUCCGGUCCUCGAGCGUAUGGGGCUUCGUCACCCGCUCUUGUAGGCCCGGCCGGCGCUUGCCGACACAUCAAUCUUUUUUCCAGGUUGACCUCGGAUCAGGUAGGGAUACCCGCUGAACUUAAGCAUAUCAAUAAGCGGAGGA
rnacentral:misc_RNA from 1 species